UCUCUUCAGAUAAAAUAAAUCGUUCGCCUUUUACUAAAGAUUUCCGUGAAGAGG
ensembl:snRNA U5 U5 spliceosomal RNA